CUCUUGCAAUUCACCACAUGAGUCCAGUACCUGCACAGUUCCAAAUGGAAGUCGAGGUCGUAGCUUACGUUUCUCAGUCGAAGGAGUGUCGGGUGCGUGUACAUGUUUGUGUCAAGCAACGAAAGAAAUAUAACAGAGUUACUAAAUUUACCUGUCCAUAAGCUGUUCUCUAGGAGGAGUUGGAGGAAGAGCUCCACUAAACUUCCCUUUCCAAUCGAUCUCGCCGCCGGCAUACUUGUUGAGCCACCUUCGAAAACCGACCACUAAGGCAUCAGACUUUGUAGGCACAAAACAAAUUUUUUGCCAGUUCGUAGACCCGAUUUCCAUUAUCUUACGCUCCUACAU